CGUCUAUAUACGUAUAGCAUAUCAAUAAGCGGAGGAAAAGAAACUAACUAGGAUUCCCUCAGUAACGGCGAGUGAAGCGGGAAGAGCUCAAAUUUGAAAUCUUCAAGGUUUUACCUUGACGAAUUGUAGUUUAAAGAAGUGUUUUCUGUUGGAUGUUUUGGUAAAAGUUCUUUGGAAUAGGACAUCAUAGAGGGUGAGAAUCCCGUAUUUGACCAUUAUUUCCAGCUUUGUGAUACACUUUCAAAGAGUCGGAUUGUUUGGGAAUGCAGUCCUAAAAUGGGUGGUAAAUUUCAUCUAAAGCUAAAUAUUGGCGAGAGACCGAUAGCGAACAAGUACCGUGAGGGAAAGAUGAAAAGAACUUUGAAAAGAGAGUUAAACAGUACGUGAAAUUGUCAAAAGGGAAGCGUUUGACACCAGUGUUGUUUUCUCGAAAAUCAAUUACGAAUGUUUUGUUUUUGAGGAGUUAUGACUUCAUCGGCUUGCUCCUUUCUUUACGAAACUUUCUUAAUGCACUUUUCGGUUAACAAGUCAACAUCAAUUUCUUUUGUUGUAAAAGGGUAUGAGGAAGGUGGCCUUCUUUUCGGAGAAAGUGUUUAUAGCCUUGUGCCUCUGCAAUCGGAGAGAUUGAGGUCUGCAGCGUAGAUCCUUCGGGGUUAGAUACGUUUGUGCUAAGUUAUAGCUUUUCAUAGACAACUUGUUGACUAUGUUUAGUCUUGUAGCUUACUCGCUGACGCUAUUUUACCUACGCUUAGGAUGUUGACUGAUAUGUAGUCGUA
rnacentral:rRNA from 1 species